rnacentral:lncRNA from 1 species
GGAUGAUUCAUGUUCUUAGAAGCACGUAUGAAUUGUCUCUGGUGGAACCCCAUUGAUUGUCAUUUGGGGACAGAUGGCCGCAUCAUAUCUAAGCUCACCAGGGCAUUCCCGUCUCCUCUGCGCUGGCAGUCUGAAGUUUUACUGGCUUCCUCAUUGCCUCGUGUGCAAAUGAGAGCCUGGGGGCUCACCCCUGCUCUAUGGGAACUGUCAAGAAGUUUGGGUCUGGAUGCUCCCACAAUGGAACCACACACACCUUCCAGUCUAGAUUCUUCUCUAUAGACACACAGCUGAAGUUACUUGGCCCUUCAAGUCCUCAGCCCUACCGUCA